rnacentral:tRNA from 1 species
ACUUAAAUAGCUUAAAAAUUAGAGCAUAACAUUGAAGAUGUUAGGGUGAUAGUAAAUAUCUUUAAGUA